UUCCAGGCGACUUCACCAAUCCCCGGCAACCACCGUAUCCAUCGUAACGGCGUCCGUGAUGCCGCCUGGACCCUCGCAUGUGGUUCAGGGUGCUCUCGACUGAAGCUCCUGGAUCGGACUCCGCCGUGGGCCUAUAAAGCCAGGCGACCUCCUCGUCACCAUACCUCUAGGAGCCGAGGCCGCCACAUUUGAUUCCAAGGAUCCCUCCUAGCUCGUAGUCAGGCAUGACCAUAGGCAACUGAUCAUGCGCGUGACCACUAGAGCAGGGAAGACGACCGGAGCCCAAUGGAAUUUCUCGACGGAGACCUCUCUACACCACCGAGCCGAGGAGCGCGUGGGCGGUGCACUACGACGUCCCUACUGCGGGUAAGAUUGCCACAUACCUAUGCGCCAUGAUCUCGUAAAUGUGUAGCAUUCUGUGUUUUUUGGUACGAGCUAUAAAACGCCAGGGGCGAGCUCUCGCCGGUGCGCGCCGCCAUAGUAGGGCCGGGCGCCGCUAGGAUGUUCGGCGGGGAGAGAGAAGAGGGGUGAUGGGUUAUUUUGGUACUUUUGUUUUGAUUGUAGCACGGAUUAGGACAGAUAAAGUAGUUGGUGGUAUAGACGUAUAGCUUAUUUGCCACUAUCCCUUAGAAUCACCAUUAGGGCGUAAAUUUUGUUAUUUUUUCUUCGUGACCACUUGCACAAUUUGCAACUACCGGCUAGUAUCAUCGUCGUUGCCCCUACUAUUUAGUAUCACCGUCAGAGCUAACAGUGUGUGUGCCAUUUAUUAUGGAAAUGCAACAUAUUUGCGUUAGGCGUAUUAUUAUGGUUCAGCCUCACGCGAUUGUCAAUAUGGUUGACGGUAAAAAUAGGAUCAUUUAAAUUGUCUCGUAAUUAUAUGAGACUUUUAUAGCAAUUUCAUUUAUACGAUCGGUGAAAUUUUGAGAGGUUUUGGAUUUAGGGACCAGCGCUUGUGUACAACACAUAUUACUUGGACAAUCCCUUUUAUAUCACAAGAUAGUUCUCCGUCUAACUUGGUUUUAUAGGAAAUGUCAUGAAUGAUAUGGUUCAAAUGUAUAUGUGAUGUGAUGCUUAAUGUUUGAUGUAAUUAUUUUGCUAGAUAGUGAUAGUAUAGUUCUUGAUGUUAUUAUGGAGGACUCAAGCAUAUGAGUACAUCAUGGACAAGAACUUGGUGAUGGAGAUCACCAUGACAAUUGACAAAGGCCAUACUAUCUCAUAUUAAUAUCAUUAUUUGUGAUAUUUUAUUUUCCUAUGAUAUUGUUCGUUCAUAUAUUAAUUGCGUUGCACCUAUAAAUAUUCUAUUAUCAUUUGGUAGACCUGCUAAAGUAGAGUGUCAUCUAUUAUCUUCAUCUAAUAGAGUGUCAUCUAACACUACCAGACUCGUGUUCUUUGCCGAGUGCAAAGGACAUUUUACGCUUGGCAAAGAAUACUCGGCAAACAUUUUAUCGGCAAAGGAUUUUUUGCCGAGUACUUUUUUCGGGCCGAGUAUCAAAAAACACUCGGCAAAGUUUCAUGAUUUUCUGACUUUGUUUGUGUUUUAUACAAUUUUUAAACACGUGGAUGCCAAGUUCACGGCCAUGUUUAGUGAGCAUGUUGCUCGAAGUUUCCGGUACGCUUCUGAAAUCGGUCGUAACUUAUGCUAAGUACCAUGAAUAUCAUUUUUUCAUGCACGGUUUUCCAAGUUUCGAGUGACCUGCAGUUCAAAUUUGAAUUUUCCGAAGAAAUUCAAAUAAACGAACUAAAUCUACUAACGAUUGAAUCUCUGUUAUAAUUGUCCACAAAUGAUACAUGUAGGUCUACAUAGUGUAGGAACAUACCACAAAAAGUUUGGGAGACAAAAUCAAAAAAAUAAAAAUAUACUUUGCCGAGUGUCUAGGGAUGACACUCGGCAAAGAAGUCUUUGCCGAGUGCCUACUGUGUGGCACUCGGCAAAGAAUAAAGAACAAAGCUUUGCCGAGUGCUGCACAACUAGCACUCGGCACAGAAGCCUUUGCCGAGUGCCCGUGAUCCGGCACUCGGCAAAGUUUAUUUUAAAAUUUAAAAAAAAUCUUUGCCGAGUGCCGGAUCGCGGGCACUCGGCAAAGAAUUUUAAUUAACCGGCUGCCCGGCCGGCUUUCUUCUUCCUUCUCCUUUCCUUCUCCUUUCUCUUCUCCCUCUGCCUCACCGCCGCCACGCCCGCCGCCUCUCCGGCCGCCCGCCCGCCGCCUCUCCACGCUGCCCUCGCCCGCCCGCCGCCUCUCCACGCCGCCAUCGCCCGGCCGCCCUCGCCGCCCUCUCCACGCACGCCGGCAAGCCACGCCGCCUCUCCACGCACGCCACGCCGCCUCACCACGCCGCCCACGCCGGCCUUGCCCGGCCGCCCGCCGCCUCCCCACGCGCCCACGCCGGCAAGCCACCGGCGCCUCUCACCGCGCCCACGCCGGCACGCCGCCCUCGCCCGCCCGCUCGCCGCGCCCGGCACGCCAACGCCGGCGAGCCGACCGCCGUCCGCCCCCGACGCGACCGGCAAGUCGUCACCGGCCGCCCGCCCACGCGCCCGGCACGCCGCCGCCGGCCGAUCGUCGCCAAACCGUAAAGGUUUAAUAAAUUUAUUAAAUUUAUGUAUGUUUAUUGUUAUAUUAUUGUUAUAUUGUCAUAUGUAUGUUUAUUGUUAUAUUGUCAUAUGUAUGUAAAGGUUUAAUACAUGUUUAUUUAAUUUAGAGAGUUUCUACUUUGUGUGUCAAUUAGAUAUAUUUUGUGGAUGUCGGCCAUCGUGCCGAUAGUUUUAUUUGCAGGUUUUGUAAACAUCCCCGUACAGGGGAGGUGCUGCCAAAUUUUUUACAUGUUAUAUUAAACUAUAGUCGGUUAUAUAUGUUAUAGGAUGGAGGACCGUGAUUGGAUGUACACGGGUCGUAGAGGAAGGAACGAUGUCACCACUGAAUGGAUUAGAAAGACCGAUGAUUUCGUGGAACGGGCAUACGGCGAAGCUGCUAAAGGAGCGAGUCUAGUCCCAUGCCCGUGCAGCAAUUGUGACAAUCGGAAAAGAAAACCAAAGAAGACCAUGGUAGAACAUAUUUGGAAGAAUGGAUUUACGCCGGGCUAUACUCGGUGGAUAUUUCAUGGUGAAGCGCAUCGUACGAGAGAGGAGGUGUUGAGACAACGUGUCGACGAUUAUGACGCGGAUGCGGGGGUAGCAGAUAUGUUGAACGACUAUCAGGAGGCACAGUACACGGGAGGAUGUAUGGAUGACGAGCCAGAGCCGACUGCAAAGGCGUUCUACGACAUGUUCGACGCGGCACAGAAGCCCCUUCACGGCCAGACAAAGGUUUCUCAACUGGAUGCCAUUGGGCGUGUAAUGGCGUUCAAGUCGCAGUACAGCAUGAGUAGAGACGCAUUCGAUGGCUUGUUGACGGUUAUUGGGAGUCUGCUUCCGGAUGAUCAUGUUCUGCCAAAGAGCAUGUACGAGGCACAGAAACUACUUCGUGCACUCAAGAUGACGUAUGAGCAGAUUCAUGCUUGUCCGAAGGGCUGCGUGCUAUUUAGGAAAGAAUACGCGGAGGCAAAGUACUGUCCCAAGUGUAAUUCGUCUAGGUUUAUGGAGGUAGACUCUGGUGAUGGACAAAAGAGGCAGCUCGACAUCCCCUUGACAAUCCUACGACACCUUCCGUUCGUACCGAGGAUCCAGCGUCUGUACAUGACAGAGGAAUCCGCUAAACAGAUGACUUGGCACAAAAAUGGAAAACGAUACAAUCCUGACAAGAUGGUGCACGCAUCAGAUGGUGAAGCAUGGAAACACUUUGAUGACAUUCACCGUGACAAAGCCGAAGAGGCUCGUAAUGUACGUGUUGCGUUGGCCACAGAUGGGUUCAAUCCCUAUGGAAUGAGCGCUGCCCCGUACACAUGUUGGCCCGUGUUUGUUAUCCCAAUCAAUCUCCCCCCUGGUGUGUGCUUUCAAAGGCAGAAUAUAUUCGUGUCGUUGAUAAUUCCCGGACACCCGGGGAACAAAAUGGGCGUGUACAUGGAGCCUUUGAUCGAUGAAUUGGUACGUGCCUGGGAGGAAGGGGUAUGGACGUUUGACCGAGCUACGAAGACAAACUUCAGAAUGCAUGUUUGGUACCAGUACUCCAUGCAUGACUUACCGGCCUAUGGGCUAUUCUGUGCCUGGUGUGUUCACGGUAAGUUCCCAUGCCCAGUUUGCAAGGAAGCUCUCAGGUUCAUUUGGUUGAAAAAGGGUGGCAAAUAUUCGUCAUUCGAUAAACAUCGACAAUUUCUUCCUGCUGACCAUCCAUUCCGCCUAGACAUCAAGAACUUUACGAAAGGUGUCGUAGUGACAGACCGUCCACCUGCAGCGAUGACUGGUGCCGAAAUUCGUCAACAGAUAGAUGGGCUCGUGGCCAAUACAGAAGGUGGUUUUGUGGGAUAUGGUGAGCAGCAUAUGUGGACACAUAAGUCUGGCUUGACUCGGCUCCCCUAUUAUGACGACCUGCUCCUUCCACACAACAUUGACGUGAUGCACACUGAAAAAAAUGUUGCCGAGGCACUGUGGGCAACAAUUAUGGACAUUCCUGAUAAGUCAAAGGAUAAUGUGAAGGCAAGAGUGGAUCUGGCAGCGUUAUGUGAUAGACCAAAACUAGAGAUGAAGCCGCCAAGUGGCGGAAAGACAUGGAGAAGGCCUAAGGCCGAUUUCGUCCUAAGCAGGGCCCAGAGGAAGGAAGUACUUCAGUGGAUCAAGAUGUUGAUGUUCCCUGAUGGGUAUGCAGCUAACCUGAGUAGGGGGGUGAACUUAUCUACUAUGCGAGUCUUAGGGAUGAAGAGUCAUGACUUCCACAUAUGGAUUGAACGGAUUCUUCCUGCGAUGGUUCGAGGCUAUGUCCCUGAGCAUGUCUGGCUAACGCUUUCAGAGUUGAGCUAUUUCUUCCGUCAGCUUUGUGCAAAAGAGUUAUCUCGGACCGUGGUUGCAGACUUCGAAAGAUUGGCCCCCGUUUUACUGUGUAAGCUUGAGAAGAUAUUUCCACCCGGCUUCUUCAAUCCAAUGCAGCAUUUGAUUCUUCAUCUCCCCUAUGAGGCACGAAUGGGGGGCCCCGUGCAGGGACGUUGGUGCUAUCCAAUCGAGAGAUGUCUAAAGACUAUUCGAAAGAAAUGUAGAAAUAAAUGCAAAAUCGAGGCUUCCAUUGCAGAGGCAUACAUUCUAGAGGAGGUCUCAAACUUCACAACAACUUAUUAUGGUGACAAACUGCCGAGCGUGCAUAAUCCACCCCCUCGUUACAAUGAUGGCGACAAUGAAUCGAACCUUAGCAUAUUUCGAGGCCAACUCGGAAGCGCAAGUGGCUCGACCACCAAGACCCUGAAUCAUGACGAGUGGCGACAUAUCAUGCUAUACGUAUUGACCAACCUUGAAGAGGUGACGCCAUACAUGGAACAAUUUCUUCAUGAAUUCUGGCGUCGAUCAAGGGACCCCACUCCACAGGAAUAUGACGCUCUUCUUAGAAAGGGUGCGCGAAAUGGGUUGCCCGAUUUCAUUUCCUGGUUCAAACGUAAGGUACGUGCUUAGUUUGUAAAAGAGAUACGUCUUUGAACUCAAUUUAGCAUCUUUUAACUUGCGAAUACUUGCAGGGCCAAAGAGAUCCGUCUAUGAGUGCCGGGUUGAGACAAGUAGCCAACGGCUUUGCUUAUAGGGUCAAGAAAUAUUCUGGGUAUGACGUCAAUGGAUACCGUUUUCGCACAACACACUACGACCAAAGUCGGCCCAAUCGGAAAACAACGUGUUCUGGAGUCUUUACGCCGGGGCUUGACAAUGUCGAUUAUUUUGGACGAAUUGAAGAAAUAUAUGAGCUCAAUUUUUAUGGUUCCAAACCUCUUACUCCAGUGAUAUUCAAAUGUCAUUGGUUUGACCCUCAAGUGACGAGACGGACACAUUCUAAUCUUGGGAUAGUCGAAAUUCGACAAGAUUCCACCUUAGCAGGAGACGAUGUCUAUAUCGUGGCCCAACAGGCCACACAAGUGUAUUAUCUCCCAUAUGCGUGUCAAACGAAAGAACAUCUUAAGGGUUGGGAUGUUGUGUAUAAGGUAUCGCCGCAUGGGAGGUUACCUGUUCCUAACGAUGAAGAUUACAACUUAGACCCGGACACAUAUGAUGGAGAGUUCUUCCAAGAAGAUGGGCUAGAAGGGCGAUUUGAGAUAGACUUAACAGAAGCUAUCGGAAUGGACGUAGAUAUUGAAAUGGUUGUUGAUGAGGAGGAUGAUGAGGUGCAAAAUGAUAAUGACUUAGUAAUCCUUGAAGGCAAUGAUGAGGUUGCGUCUUCCGAUGGUGUUGAGAUUGAAAUGCUUGAUAGUGAUGAUGAGAGUUUUGAUCCGGCUAACCCCGACACAUAUGAAGAUUAUUUUUAAUCGAUGUAAUGCUAUAUGACUUUUUAUUUCGCACCUGUUUUUAAAUACAUCUUUUUAUAUGUGCUUAUUUGUUUACUCUUAAUUGCAGGUUGUUGGACAAAUAUGGUGGGCGGUUUCCUGAGGAGGAGGAGGGGGAGGAGGAGUAGGACGGCGGACGAUGCAGAGCAGGCAGCGCAGCAGCAGGAGGCAGAGCAGGCAGCGCAGCAGCAGCCGGCGCCUCAGGACGACGACGACCAGCCGGACGACGACGACCAGCAGCAGGACGCCUCAGGUUCAGGCGGCUCUAGUUCGAGGAGCAUCUACCUGCGAGGCCCCGCGAGUCUCCCG
rnacentral:lncRNA from 1 species